CCGCCGGCGACCGGCGCNCGGGUGAGUAACACGUAUGCAACCUGGCCGUGACAGAUGGAUAACCGGGAGAAAUCCCGCCUAAUACAACAUAAUGCCGGGAGGGGACAUCCCCUGCCGGCCAAAGGGGGCGACCCCGGUCACGGAUGGGCAUGCGGCGCAUUAGGUAGUUGGUGGGGCAACGGCCCACCAAGCCGACGAUGCGUAGGGGUUCUGAGAGGAAGGUCCCCCACAUUGGAACUGAGACACGGUCCAAACUCCUACGGAAGGCAGCAG
rnacentral:rRNA from 1 species